rnacentral:rRNA from 1 species
GACGGAGGAUGCAAGUGUUAUCCGGAAUCACUGGGCGUAAAGCGUCUGUAGGUGGUUUAAUAAGUCAGUUGUUACAAAUUGAGGCUUAACCUUAAAUAAGCAACAGAUACUGUUAAACUUGAGUAUAGUAGAGGUAAAAGGAAUUUCCAGUGGAGCGGUGAAAUGCGUAGAGAUUGGAAAGAACACCGAUGGCGAAGGCAUUUUACUGGGCUAUAACUGACACUCAGAGACGAAAGCUAGGGUAGCAAAUGGG